GAAGGUCAAAGAUUCAUAUUGUCAGGUUUGAAAGGGUUCCGAAAAUAUUUACGUAGAUGCUGCCAGGACUAGAGGGUGUGAGCUAUAGGGCGAGAUUGAGUAGGCUGGGUC